rnacentral:rRNA from 1 species
GAUGAACGCUGGCGGCGCGCCUAACACAUGCAAGUCGAACGGCACCCCUCUCCGGAGGGAAGCGAGUGGCGAACGGCUGAGUAACACGUGGAGAACCUGCCCCCUCCCCCGGGAUAGCCGCCCGAAAGGACGGGUAAUACCGGAUACCCCGGGGUGCCGCAUGGCACCCCGGCUAAAGCCCCGACGGGAGGGGAUGGCUCCGCGGCCCAUCAGGUAGACGGCGGGGUGACGGCCCACCGCGCCGACAACGGGUAGCCGGGUUGAGAGACCGACCGGCCAGAUUGGGACUGAGACACGGCCCAGACUCCUACGGGAGGCAGCAGUGGGGAAUCUUGCGCAAUGGGGGGAACCCUGACGCAGCGACGCCGCGUGCGGGACGGAGGCCUUCGGGUCGUAAACCGCUUUCAGCAGGGAAGAGUCAAGACU